ACGGUAACAGGAAGCAGCUUGCUGCUUCGCUGACGAGUGGCGGACGGGUGAGUAAUGUCUGGGAAACUGCCUGAUGGAGGGGGAUAACUACUGGAAACGGUAGCUAAUACCGCAUAAUGUCGCAAGACCAAAGAGGGGGACCUUCGGGCCUCUUGCCAUCGGAUGUGCCCAGAUGGGAUUAGCUAGUAGGUGGGGUAACGGCUCACCUAGGCGACGAUCCCUAGCUGGUCUGAGAGGAUGACCAGCCACACUGGAACUGAAACACGGUCCAAACUCCUACGGGAGGCAGCAGUGGGGAAUAUUGCACAAUGGGCGCAAGCCUGAUGCACCCAUGCCGCGUGUAUGAAGAAGGCCUUCGGGUUGUAAAGUACUUUCAGCGGGGAGGAAGGUGUUAAGGUUAAUAACCUUGUCAAUUGACGUUACCCGCAAAAGAAGCACCGGCUAACUCCGUGCCAGCAGCCGCGGUAAUACGGAGGGUGCAAGCGUUAAUCGGAAUUACUGGGCGUAAAGCGCACGCAGGCGGUCUGUCAAGUCGGAUGUGAAAUCCCCGGGCUCAACCUGGGAACUGCAUUCGAAACUGGCAGGCUAGAGUCUUGUAGAGGGGGGUAGAAUUCCAGGUGUAGCGGUGAAAUGCGUAGAGAUCUGGAGGAAUACCGGUGGCGAAGGCGGCCCCCUGGACAAAGACUGACGCUCAGGUGCGAAGCGUGGGGAGCAAACAGGAUUAGAUACCC
rnacentral:rRNA from 1 species